UACGGGGGGAGCAAGCGUUGUUCGGAUUUACUGGGCGUAAAGGGCGCGUAGGCGGCCAGCACAAGUCAGUUGUGAAAUCUCCGAGCUUAACUCGGAAAGGUCAACUGAUACUGUGCGGCUAGAGUGCGGAAGGGGCAACUGGAAUUCUUGGUGUAGCGGUGAAAUGCUUAGAGAUUACAUGGAAUACCAAUUGCGAAGGCAGGUUACUGCUAAUGGAUUGACGCUGAUGGACGAAAGCGUGGGUAGCGAACAGG
rnacentral:rRNA from 1 species